rnacentral:rRNA from 1 species
UACAGAGGGUGCGAGCGUUAAUCGGAAUUACUGGGCGUAAAGCGUGCGUAGACGGCUAUCUAAGUCGGGUGUGAAAGCCCCGGGCUCAACCUGGGAAUUGCAUUCGAGACUGAAUAGCUAGGGUACGGUAGAGGGAAGUGGAAUUUCCGGUGUAGCGGUGAAAUGCGUAGAUAUCGGAAGGAACAUCAGUGGCGAAGGCGACCACCUGGACUGAUACUGACACUGAGGUGCGAAAGCGUGGGGAGCAAACAGG